AGCGUGUAUCAGGGAAUCUUUUAUUGUUAAAAAUGGAUUUCAGCCAAAGAUGCACCGCCAUUCUCCCCUUGAAAAUGUUUCCUCGCUCUUCAGACAGACCUAUCCCAUCCCUGCACUCUCUUUUGCUUUAUCUCUUCUUUCAUCAGCAGAUGCGUGGGGUCCAGAGACUGGAUCUCUCGGGGUCUGGAGAAGGAAAGAUGUGAGGGCCGGGCUGGGCCGGGCCACACGUGCUGAGCCUUCGCCUGGAACGCGGGGACAGAGUCCUAACCCACUGCCGUAUCCGGGAGCUCGGGGCUGAGGGAAAAUGCAACACUUCCGUGACUUUCGGAAUUUGCCCGAGAUCCCGCAGCGUGUCUUAGCUGUGCGAGGAGUCACAGUAGUGAAAAUAGAGCCUCCAGGGGGGUCACGCUGCGAAUGCAAGUGCACAUUUGCUGGUGGUUUGCACUGCUCUUCGCUGGCAUUGACAGCAGCACUGUGGCUCGCAGCUUGCAGAGGCUGCAGCCCUUGUUUGGCCGGCCUUGCAGCAGGUGGAAAGGCCAGGGCCUAAGAGAAAGCCGGGCGAGAGAAGGGAGAAGCCCAGGGAGACAACCCUUCCAGGCCACGCCCCAGUGACGCCCCUUCCCGGCAGGCCCCACCUCCUAGCAACAAGUCAGCAUCCUAGCAACAAGUCAGCUAGGAGCCCCAUGGUCCGAUCUCCUUCUCCACCUGGGAGCAUGUGAGGCUCUCAGGGGCGUGGAGAUCUAAGCCCUCACACCCUCGCAUGCUAAAAUCUUUCCGGGCAUCACAGGUACGACAGUCCCCGGAACUGUAUCUGUAUACCCAGGAUAGUGAGUAUCCACCGCGCAGCCCAGUGUCCAGCCUCAGGGACACUUCCGCCGAGCUGUGCGCGAACUCUCAGGAGUCAGCCCCACCAAUGCACUUCCGUCCGGACAAGCCCUGUAGCCACGCACAGCCAGCCAGCCAGCAACCUCAGCCGCCAUCAGCUGCCGGGGACAAGGAGAGCAGGCUGAAAGGAAGGGCUCAGACAUGCUCCGGGUGACACCGAGUUCUCAGAAACUUGAAAACAAGGCUGGGAAAUGUUCUGAGUGUGCUAACAUUUGUCGGAUGAGGGUGUUACGUCGCAUACCAUGAAAAUUUUGUGGAAAACAAAAUACACUAUCAUUUUCUAAUCAAAGUCUGGGAUGGUCUGACAUGUAUGAAUGAUCUUCUCUCAUAAUGAAAAAGCCAGUCUCUUUGGAGACCUUUUGGCAUUAUUGAAAUUAAUAAUUCACAAUUUUCAUCUGGAAUCAAGUUGUCCACUUGGAAUGGAGGCCUCCUGACAGAGAAGUCCUAAGGCCCCAGUAGUCAUUAGCAUGUCUCUUUCUGUCCCUCUCCCUCUCUCUCUCUAUCCCCCACCCCCAAAAUUUCUUGAAUCAGGAAAAAAGACAGUUAUUUUGUGUCGUUUAACACCAUUUCUCGGACAAACAAUGCUAUUUAAAGAGUGAUAUUUGGUGAGACUUUCUUUACAAAUCCCAGGGCUUCGGUCUAGAGCAGAUGACACUCACCUCCUUAGCAUGGAGAGCACGCUCCAGACAGGGGUUUACCUGGAUUCCGAAAGACACCAGGAUGGGUCAGCAGGGGUGCUGAGUCUCUGUUGGGAAGGAUCGGUGUACGUGGAGCAUGUGUGAGGGGGUGGAGGAGGAGCACCCGUGGUGGUGUGGAGGAAAGCACGGAGCAGGGUGCCCCAACCUGUCUGCAAAGCCCUAACUGGAAUCACAGGGGACUAGAGCAGCAAACUGGAAAGGAAGGGAGGCCCAGCGUGUGCCAGAAGCUGGGCUGAGAGAGGUGCUUCUGGCAGAGGCUGUCAGGGACCUGUUCUGUGUUUCUACAGAGUUUCAUUCGGGAAGGUGGUGCAAGGGCACCACAAGUAAUCUCCCUGGGAACUGCACUGGCCCACCAGAGCCACAGGAAGCUGGAUUCUCUUCCACCCUGGCCAUCCACACAGUGACCCUCCUUCCUUGCAUUUGUAUGCAUUUUUCAGCUGACAUAAAAGCUAGAUUACAG
rnacentral:lncRNA from 1 species